rnacentral:tRNA from 1 species
GGGCCUUGCUCAGUUGGUAGAUCAGGGGGGGCUCUUAAUCCCUUGGUCCGGGAUUCGAUUUCCCGAAGACCCA